rnacentral:rRNA from 1 species
UACGAAGGGUGCAAGCGCUAAUCGGAAUUACUGGGCGUAAAGCGUGCGUAGGCGGUUUCUUAAGUCUGCUGUGAAAGCCCUGGGCUCAACCUGGGAAUGGCGGUGGAUACUGAGAAGCUGGAGUACGGUAGAGGAAGGUGGAAUUCCCGGUGUAGCGGUGAAAUGCGUAGAGAUCGGGAGGAACAUCAGUGGCGAAGGCGGCCUUCUGGACCAGUACUGACGCUGAGGCACGAAAGCGUGGGGAGCAAACAGG